GUAGAAGACCCAGGAGCAGCAAGUAGAUAUGCACAGAAUGGUGAGGAAUUGCAGUUGCCCAACGUGCACAUUCCCAGCUGAGUUCGGACAAGGCCUCUUGCUGUUCAGCAGUGGGAAGAACAUAAGGAAUACUGGGGGAAGCAGUGGGAGAAGAGGAA